rnacentral:rRNA from 1 species
CGUCCUAUUAGCUAGUUGGUGAGGUAAUGGCUCACCAAGGCUACGAUGGGUAGGGGUUCUUAGUGGAAGGUCCCCCACACUGGCACUGAGAUACGGGCCAGACUCCUACGGGAGGCAGCAGUAGGGAAUAUUGGUCAAUGGGCGCAAGCCUGAACCAGCCAUGCCGCGUGCAGGAUGAAGGCUCUCUGAGUUGUAAACUGCUUUUGUACAGGAGCAAAAAAAUCCCUGCGGGGGUUCUUGAGAGUACUGUAAGAAUAAGCACCGGCUAAUUCCGUGCCAGCAGCCGCGGUAAUACGGGAGGUGCGAGCGUUAUCCGGUUUUAUUGGUUUAAAGGGUGCGUAGGCGGCUUAUUAAGUCAGUUGUGAAAUCCUAGUGCUUAACGCUAGAACUGCAAUUGAUACUAUU